rnacentral:rRNA from 1 species
UGGGUAACCCACCUCGAUGACCGGGACAACCCGAGGAAACUCGGGCUAAUACCGGAUGAGCUCUUCGCCCUUGAGGGAGAAGAGGAAAGAUAGCUUCGGCCUUCGCAUCGGGACGGGCCCGCGGCGGAUUAGCUUGUUGGUGAGGUAACGGCUCACCAAGGCGACGAUCCGUAGCUGGUCUGAGAGGACGAUCAGCCACACUGGGACUGAGACACGGCCCAGACCUCCGUACGGGGAGCAG